ensembl:lncRNA
AUGGCGUCAGUUUCGAGGGUAUCCAUCCUAGACUACUUCAACAUCGUGUUCGAGGGGGAGAACGGAAAGAUCGAGUCCAAUUGUAAAGCAUGCGGCACCAGAAUACAGGCGAAGAGAAGCGUCACAUCUAACUUCGUUACACAUCUCAAGAGGAAGCACCAAGCCAUGUAUGAUGAAUUUGUGAAAAAGAAGGAUAUGAAAAGAGAAGCCUACUCCUCUUCCUCCUCCACCCUCCAUCCCUACUCAUCCUCCUCUCUUCACAGCCUGGCCAAUGGAGGCCACCGCUGCAACCACUCAACCACAUCUGGAGGACGAGGAGGGGGUGUGGGUGGAGGAGGGAGAGAGGGAACAGGAGGAGGGGUGACUAAGUUCCACAGACAUGACCCUCGGCAGGUUCUGAUCUCUGAGGCCAUUGCUAAGAUGUUGGUCCAGGACCUUCAGCCGGCCUCCAUGGUGGCACUUCGCGGGUUCACAGAGUUACUGCAGCUGUUGGAGCCACGUUACACGCCUGAGCCUCCACGAUACCUCCACACCCAGCUCCUCCCUGCCUAUGCCUAUCAGGCUCAGCUAGCCACGAGACAGGCCCUGACCUCGGCCCCUGCGCUCAGCCUGUCAAUCUCCCUCUGCAGGGGUUUUCCUGGGGCCCCGACAGGGUCUAACGCUGGGUACCUAGGUGUGACUUGCCACUUCCUGUCCUCUGAUUGGCAGAUGCGUUCUGCCCUGCUGGCGUGCCUGCCUCUGGUUGGGGGGCUGUCAGCCAGUCGCGUGCUGGCAGAGUUUGAGGAGGUGUGUGUUGCUCACGCCGUGUCCGGGCGGGCGUUCCGUGUGGUGGCCGACCCGUUUCCCACCGAAACCCACCCCGCAUGCCGAUUGCCGGGCUUCCGUAUCCAUGGAAACCCGGGGGAGGAUGCUGAAGAGGAUGAUGAGGAGGAGAGUGGAACAGAAGAAGGAGAAGGAGGAGGAGUGGUGGAACGGGGGGAUUGGUGGGAAGGAGGUCUGGGCUCCAGGAGGAUGGACUGUUUCUGUCGAUCACUGGCUCAGUGUGUCAGAGAUGGACUGCUCUCCUCCUCUCCUCUCCUCUCCUCCACCCUGGCUAAAGCCUCCUCCUUCUAUAACUACGUCACCUCUGCUGUUCCUCACGACAAACUGGUGGGGGUGUUGGGGCGGGCAGAGGGGGGUCUGAGGGCUGCUGGGGAGACGGACUGGGCCGCUCAACUGAAGGUAUUCAGUAGAACUUACUGGAGUAUCAUACAGACAGACAGGUAGAACAGACAGACAGGUAGAACAGACAGAAUAGACAGACAGGUUGAAAAGACAAACAGACAGGUAGAACAGAAUAGACAGACAGGUAGAACAGAAUAGACAGACACAACAGAAUAGACAGACAGGUUGAAAAGACAGACAGGUAGAACAGAAUAGACAGGUUGAAAAGACAGACAGGUAGAACAGAAUAGACAGACUGGUUGAAAAGACAGACAGGUAGAACAGAAUAGACAGACUGGUUGAAAAGACAGACAGGUAGAACAGAAUAGACAGACAGGUAGAACAGAAUAGACAGACAGGUAGAACAGAAUAGACAGACAGGUAGAACAGAAUAGACAGACACAACAGAAUAGACAGACAGGUUGAAAAGACAGACAGGUAGAACAGAAUAGACAGGUUGAAAAGACAGACAGGUAGAACAGAAUAGACAGACUGGUUGAAAAGACAGACAGGUAGAACAGAAUAGACAGACUGGUUGAAAAGACAGACAGGUAGAACAGAAUAGACAGACAGGUAGAACAGAAUAGACAGACAGGUAGAACAGAAUAGACAGACUGGUUGAAAAGACAGACAGGUAGAACAGAAUAGACAGACAGGUUGAAAAGACAGACAGGUAGAACAGAAUAGACAGGUUGAAAAGACAGACAGGUAGAACAGAAUAGACAGACUGGUUGAAAAGACAGACAGGUAGAACAGAAUAGACAGACAGGUAGAACAGAAUAGACAGACCGGUAGAACAGAAUAGACAGACUGGUUGAAAAGACAGACAGGUAGAACAGAAUAGACAGACAGGUUGAAAAGACAGACAGGUAGAACAGAAUAGACAGGUUGAAAAGACAGACAGGUAGAACAGAGUAGACAGACAGGUUGAAAAGACAGACCAGAACAGACAGACGAGUGAAGGACUAGGGUAGCUGAAACACUUUUCCCAUGCUACCUUGUUCUUACUACCACCUCUACCCUUACUACUUUACUACAGCCACUACUCCUACUCUACUGCUACAGUUGUACUCUGCUUUACUACUACUCUAUUCUAUUUCACUACAACUCUACAAAUACUGUACUGCUCUAUACCAUACUACCGCUCUGCUACGAAUACCCUACUACCAUACUAUUAGUGCUCUACCCUACUACUACUCUAUUACUACUAUUCAACUACCCUACCAUACUAAUACUUUACUACUACUGUAAUCGGCUGUUACUGUUAUACUACUAAUGCUUGUCUACUUUAUCGUACUACUACUCUCUUACUAAUACUUCUACCACUUCUCUGUUCUGCUCCAGGUGCUGCGUGGUUUGCUGGAUUCAGCAGAGUUCCUGGAGGACCUGAGUGACCGGGCUGACCUGGCUCUGACUGGCCAGGAAGUGGCGCUGCUCAGAGAACUGGCAGACACAUUGGAACCUUUCACAGAGGCCUGGGACAUGGUACACACACACAAACAGGUAACACACACGUAACACACUAACAGGUAACACGCACUGCCCGGUAACACACAGGUCACAUACACACAGAAACAUGUUACAGACAGAGUGGUCUCACCGACAGGUCACACAAACAGACAGGUAACACACACAAACAGGUAACAUAAACACAGAUCACACAAACAGACAGGUAACACACACAAACAGGUAACAUACACACAGGUCACACAGACAGGUAACACAGACAGAAAGGUCACACACACAGACAGACAUGCUACACACAGGCAGGUCACACACACACACACAGACAGACCUGUUACAUACAGGUCACACAGACAGAUAGGUCACACACACACUGACAGACCUGUUACACACUGACAGACCUGUUACACACAAACAGCACAGAACUCUACUGGAGGGUGGAACACCAUUCUUCCAAAAGACAUCAAUCAAUCAAAUGUAUUUAUAAAGCUGUUUUUACAUCAUCAGUUGUCACAAACCCUGAAAUCCCAAGGAGCAAACAACAACAGUGUUGAAAAACUCCCAAAGGGGGGUUGAAAUUUAGGAAGAAACUUGUAGAGGAACCAGGCUCGGAGGGGUAACCAGUCAUCUUCUGGUUGUGCUGGGUGAACAAGAGUACCAGUUGUAAUAAUUGGGAGGACUUUGGACUGGGGCAGCAACAAGUCUUUAGGGUCUGGUACUCAGGAGGACAUGAGUUCUUGGCCCACACCUCCUAAGUUCAAACAGAGCAGGAGAGAAGGGUGCAUUCCAAAAUUAAAGAGUGCAUUCCUUAGGUUUACAAGGAUGUGCAGUGGAGAAGGAGAAUUGAUCCUACUCCCCCAGCACAAUAAUAUAGCAGCGUAAGACCUUGGGGCUGAGACAGGGGGGUCUGGUGACACUGUGGCCCUAUCUGGGGUAGGCCCCAGGCAGGAAAUCAAUCCACCCACAUUGCCAAGCAUCAACCAAAGGGACACCCACCAACUGCAACCACCCUGAAUGAGGGCGGAGUAUUGCCAGCAGAGUACAGCCCAAUUGCACAAGUGCGCAAAAGAGAGACAACAACAAGCCAGUGACUCUUCCCCCGAAUGGCAUUGGAGGGAGGNNNNNNNNNNNNNNNNNNNNNNNNNNNNNNNNNNNNNNNNNNNNNNNNNNNNNNNNNNNNNNNNNNNNNNNNNNNNNNNNNNNNNNNNNNNNNNNNNNNNCCCCUCUCUCUCCUGGUUUACCUCCUUUCUCCCCCUCUCUCUCCUGGUUACCUUCUCUCUCCCCCUCUCUCUCCUGGUUUACCUCCUCUCUCCCCCUCCCUCCUGGUUUAACUCCUCUCUCCCCCCCUCCCUCCUGGUUUAACUCCUCUCUCCCUCUCUCUCUCCUGGUUUACCUUCUCUCUCUCCCCCUCUCUCUCCUGGUUUACCUUCUCUCUCCCCCUCUCUCUCCUGGUUUACCUUCUCUCUCCCCCUCUCUCUCCUGGUGACCUCCUCUCUCCCCCUCCCUCCUGGUUUACCUCCUCUCUCCCCCUCCCUCCUGGUUUACCUCCUCUCUCCCCCUCCCUCCUGGUUUACCUCCUUUCUCCCUGUUCCCCUCCCGCUUUCCCUCUCUCCCCUUCUUUCUCCCUGUCCCCCCCUCUCCCUUUUUCCCUCCCUCUGUUUCCCUCUGUCGCUAUCUCUAUACUUUCUCUUUCCCUAUGCUAUACUUUCUCUUUCCCUAUGCUAUACUUUCUCUUUCCCUAUGCUAUACUUUCUCUUUCCCUAUGCUAUACUUUCUCUUUCCCUAUGAUAUACUUUCUCUUUCCCUAUGCUCGGACGCAAAUAAAUUAAUCUGUUUUAAUCUGCAACAGGAGCUGUGAGUGUCUGUAUGUGUCUUACUGUAUAAAUAGUGUAACCCAUGUUAAAUCUGGCAAAGUGAGGACAUUAUGCAGUAAAUGGCUGUUUUGGACAUGGUGUAGGGUUAUAUUUAGGGUUGGGCAGGGGUACGUUUUAGGGUUAGGGAAUAGGGUUUGUUGAUUUAGGGUUAUAUUGAGUGAGACAGGGGGGUCCAGUGACACUGUGGCCCUAUCUGGGGGAGGCCCCAGACAGGGCCCAACAGGCAGGAAAUCAAUCCACCAGCAUUGCUAAGCAUCAACCAAAGGGACACCCACCAACCGCAACCACCCUGAAUGAGGGCAGAGUAUUGCCAGCAGAGUACAGCCCAAUUACACAAGUGUGCAACAGAGAGACAACAACAAGCCAGUGACUCUUCCCCCGAAAGGCAUUGGAGGGAGGGCAUCCCAGUGGCGACGAGAGCCCACCUGGCAAGACAGCAGGGGUGGACAGUAUCAAGCCUACUGGUCACCUUCACACCCCGGGGCCAGACUACACUUAAUCAUAGACCGUGCUGUAGAGAUGAGUUUUUAGUAAACACUUGAAAGUUUGCAGUUUACAUUUCUAACCUUAAAUGGCAAAUCAUUCCACAGUAGUGGAGCUCUAUGAGAAAAGGCCCUGCCGCCAGCUAUUUGUUUAGAAAUUCUAGGUACAAUUAAAAGGCCUGCAUCUUGAGAUUGUAGGUAACGUGUAGGUAUGUAUGGCUGGAUAAUUUCAGCGAGGUAAGUAGGAGCAAGUCCAUGUAUUGAUUUAUAGGUUAACAAUAAAACCUUAGAAUCAGCCCUAACCCUAACAGGCAGCCAGUGUAAAGAGGCUAGUACAGGAGUAAUGUGUUAAAUUUUUUAUGUUCUAGUUAGGAUUCUAGAAGCUGUGUGCAGCACUAAUUGAAGUUUAUUUAUUGAUUCAUCAGGGUAACUGGAGAGAAGAGCAUUGCAG